rnacentral:rRNA from 1 species
AGAAGCUAAUACCGCAUACGAUCUGAGGAUGAAAGCGGGGGACCUUCGGGCCUCGCGCGAUUGUCGCGUGCGAUGGCAGAUUAGGUACUUGGUGGGAUAAAAGCUUACCAAGCCGACGAUCUGUAGCUGGUCUGAUAGGACGACCACCCACACUGGGACUGAGACACGGCCCAGACUCCUACGGGAGGCAGCAGUGGGGAAUUUUGGACAAUGGGCGAAAGCCUGAUCCAGCAAUGCCGCGUGCAGGAUGAACGCCUUCGGGUUGUAAACUGCUUUUGUACGGAACCAAAAAGCUCCUUCUAAUACAGGGGGCCCAUGACGGUACCGUAACAAUAAGCACCGGCUAACUACGUGCCAGCAGCCGCGGUAAUACGUAGGGUGCGAGCGUUAAUCGGAAUUACUGGGCGUAAAGCGUGCUCGGGCGGUUAUGUAAGACAGAUGUGAAAUCCCCGGGCUCAACCUGGGAACUGCAUUUGUGACUGCGUGGCUUGAGUACGGGAGAGGGGGAUGGAAUUCCGCGUGUAGCGGUGUAAUGCGUAUAUAUGCGGAGGAACACCGAUGGCGAAGGCAAUCCCCUGGACCUGUACUGACUCUCAUGCACGAUAGCGUGUGGAGCAAACAGGAUUAGAUACCCUGGUAGUCCACGCCCUAUGCGAUGUCAACUGGUUGUUGGGAAUUAGUUUUCUCAGUAACGAAUCUAACCCGUGAAGUUGACCGCCUGGGGAGUACGGCCGCUAGGGUGAAACUCAGAGGAAUUGAUGAGACCCCGCACAAGCGGUGGAUGAUGUGAUAUAAUGUCGAUGCAACGCGAAAACCUUACCACCUUUGACAUGUCAAGAAGGUUCUAGAGAUGGAUUCAUGCUCGAAAGAGAACCUGCCCACAUGUGCUGCAUGGCUGUCGUCGGCUCGUGUCGUGAGAUGUUGGGUGAAUUCCCACAACGAGCGCAAUCGUGG